rnacentral:rRNA from 1 species
AUUGAACGCUGGCGGCAUGCUUUACACAUGCAAGUCGAACGGCAGCGGGGGCUUCGGCCCGCCGGCGAGUGGCGAACGGGUGAGUAAUGCAUCGGAACGUGCCCAGUCAUGGGGGAUAACUACGCGAAAGCGUAGCUAAUACCGCAUACGCCCUGAGGGGGAAAGUGGGGGAUCUUCGGACCUCACGUGAUUGGAGCGGCCGAUGUCAGAUUAGCUAGUUGGUGAGGUAAAGGCUCACCAAGGCGACGAUCUGUAGCGGGUCUGAGAGGAUGAUCCGCCACACUGGGACUGAGACACGGCCCAGACUCCUACGGGAGGCAGCAGUGGGGAAUAUUGGGCAAUGGGCGAAAGCCUGACCCAGCAACGCCGCGUGAAGGAAGAAGGUUUUCGGAUCGUAAACCUCUGUCUUUGGGGACGAUAAUGACGGUACCUAAGGAGGAAGCUCCGGCUAACU